AUGUACCACGCGAACACUGCGGUUCCUCCGCGCCGUCCGCACCCACUUGGCGACUGUUCGCUACGUUGGUUAGCC
rnacentral:sRNA from 1 species